rnacentral:rRNA from 1 species
GAUUGCAGGCUGCAACUCGCCUGCAUGAAGUCGGAAUUGCUAGUAAUCGCAGAUCAGCAUGCUGCGGUGAAUACGUUCCCGGGCCCUUGUACACACCGCCCGUCACACCAUGGGAGUCGGUAACACCCGAAGUCGGUAGCCUAACCGUAAGGAGGGCGCCGCCGAAGGUGGGAUUGAUGACUGGGGUGAAGUCGUAACAAGGUACC